AUUGAACGCUGGCGGAAUGCUUUACACAUGCAAGGUCGAACGGUAGAGGGGGCAACCCCUCGAGAGCGGCGAACGGGUGAGUAAUAUAUCGGAACGUGCCCAGUAGUGGGGGAUAACUACUCGAAAGAGUGGCUAAUACCGCAUGAGAACUGAGGUUGAAAGCGGGGGACCUUCGGGCCUCGCGCUACUGGAGCGGCCGAUAUCAGAUUAGCUAGUUGGUGGGUAAAGGCCUACCAAGGCGACGAUCCAUAGCUGGUCUGAGAGGAUGAUCAGCCACACUGGGACUGAGACACGGCCCAGACUCCUACGGGAGGCAGCAGUGGGGAAUAUUGGACAGUGGGCGAAAGCCUGAUCCAGCAAUGCCGCGUGAGUGAUGAAGGCCUUAGGGUUGUAAAGCUCUUUUACCCGAGAUGAUAAUGACAGUAUCGGGAGAAUAAGCUCCGGCUAACUCCGUG
rnacentral:rRNA from 1 species